rnacentral:tRNA from 1 species
GGGGCAGUAGCGCAGUGGCCUAACGCGCCUCCCUGUCACGGAGGAGAUCGCGGGUUCAAAUCCCGUCUGCCCCGCCA